AAAACCAAAAUAACUAUUCCAGCAUAAUUAAUCUCAAUAUAACUAAUUCCACAUGACUUGUUAGGAUAAACCAAAUGACACAAUAAACCAAACCAAAUGACUCCUUAGGAUAAGGUUAAAGGGCAGGGAACGUCGUCGUUUAGGCGAUACACUUAAUAAACCAAACCAAAACCCUAAUCCCAUCCCUAUAAAGUAACCAUUAUAAUCCUCAACAGUCAAAGAGCUUGCAGUCAUGGCUUCCAGCAAUCACAAAUGUCGAAAGAACCUAGAAAAAAAAUUAGAGCAUAAUCUCUGAGCGCCGGUACGGUAGUAAAUUGCUUGUAAUUUCCACACACACACAAAAAGCAGUGGCUAAAAUAUAGUGUGCACCAAAUAGCCCUUUGCAAUAUAAAGUUUGUUAUUGCAGAGAAAACACGAGCUAAGGUACUUUCUGGUGCAAAGCUAAUUUUUUUGGCAAAACUUUUGGCUGAAUUAUUUAGCCAUUUAUUCAGCUUUAUUUUGCCAAAAUAAAAGCUUAUUGUUUGUAGUUUAAAUUUUGUGUUUAUGUUGAAUUUAAGAUUGGCAAGCAAAGUGAUGAGAAUCUAUUAGCUGAAUUAUAUGUUGAAUUUACAUAUAUAGCCUUCAAAGUUCUCUGAUUGCAUUGCUCAAUUUUUUUUCCUAAUAUGUAACUAUUAUAGUGCUACCAAAUAAAUAUUUUCAUUGCAAGGUGUGCAAUGAGUAGUUUUGUUUGUCAAAUUUUGUGAUUUUGACUAAAGUCAAACAGUUAAAUUGAAUGGAUGGGGUUGGUUGAUUAUUCGAAAUACUUGUUUGUUUAUUUCUUUAUUUUUGAGCAUAUUUAUUUAAAUUUUGCAAAGCAAAAUGAUGAUGAACUAUUAGCCUAAUUUUAUGCUGAAGAAACAUAUGAUAUGCCUUCAAAGUUCUCUGAUUGACCCUAGUUAGAGUGAUAUUAUUGUUAAUCUUGUUAUAAAUUUUAAUGAAAAUACCUUACUUUUGCUUAGAAAAUGAAAUAUCGUUUAGCUGUCUUGGUGUAUAAAUUGUAAUAUGAGUACAUUGGAUCUAUUUUAGCUUUAACAUAAUGCUCCUUAUAACCUCAUUUGGUUAGGACCUUCCAUGGGGUCGCCAAAGUGAGUGCUCAUUGAUCAUCAGUAUUUGUUUUGAUGAUGUGGUUGGAGUGUCUGGAGUUAAAUAAGAUGGAUACAAUGCUGUCCUACUGUAAUUAUCUAGUUAGUUGGAAAAACAAGAUAAAUUUUGUAUAGGGUUUUUUGGGGUAUUUUCAGUUGGAAGUUUUGAUCUGACUAACAUGAAGGAUUUGAGCACCAAAAUACAUGGUCUGUCGUUUUAUACUAUCGUCAAACUAUACGAGCAUGGUGCUACAUUAAGGGUUUUCUUAUUAUAUGUUGCUACUUGACUCUUCAUGUUAAAUCAGCGGCAAAGGAUGUUUUGUGAAUAAGAAAUACAUUGAUCACAUUUUAAAACUACAAUCAUGUUCCUUAGUUUUAUGUGUUGUUACUGUCUGCCCUGUUGCAUUUCCCUAAUUUCCAUGAACUUUCACUCUAAUGAAACCCUAGUACUAUAAUAGAAUGGAGCUAGGGUGCGGCAUCCCCUGAUUUGAAAAUAAUGUUAAAGUCUAUGUUGCGCGGACUCUACAAAAUGUAGCCGCACCCGUGUCGGAUCUUUCAAAAAUGCACUAUUUUUGGAGGAUCCGACACGUAUCCGGCCACAUUUUCGGAUAGUCCGAGCAACAUAGGUUAAAGUGGCACUAAUUGCUUCUAGAAAAGGUUAUGUGGAAAAGUAUAAUCAUGAACAUUUUUUUGCCUUUUUUUUGUAUAAGACCUGUAUGAUAUUUGCCCUAAAAUAGCAGGCGAUAGUGUUUGGAGAGAUGGCGGUGACAUGUUUAAAUUUAUAGGAUACAUUUUAUUGUCUUCUCUGUUAUUCUGAACUUGGUUAAACAGAACAAGGGCUACUGAUAUUGAGAAAAUUUACUGAAAGUAAGAGGAUUGCUGUUUGCUUUUGCUUCUGUUAUCUAAUUCUUUGAAGAUUGAUUAGUUGUCUUGACUGAUGUAAAGGUUUUUGAACACCAAAAUACAGAGUCUGUCGAUUUAUACUUGCCCUCAGACUAUACGAGCAUGGUGCUACAUCAAGUAUUUCUUAUUAUCUGUUGUCACUUGAAUCUCAUUUUCUAUCAGUGGCUAAGGAUGUUUUUAGAAUAAGAAAGACAUAUCUUGCAUCUUUAAGCUAUAAGCUUGGUCCUCACUUCUUAUAGAGUCUUCUAUAACCAAUGUUUGUAAACCAGUUCUAUGGUAAAGUUGUAUUUUUACAUUUAAACUUCAAUGUUCCUCAUUUCCCUAAUCUCCAUGACCUUUAGACUAUACUAUGGCUGUCCAACGGGACGGGACAAAAUUAGCGGGACGGGAUGAAACGGUCAUCCCAUCCUGUCCCGCUAACAAACGGGGUGCGGGGGGUACGGUUUCGUGGGCCUUAACUGUUUUUGUUUUAAAAUAAUGUUUAGUUUUUUGAAAAUGACUAAGUUUUUAAAAUUUGCAACAGCUAGUUUUUUGACUUAUUUAACAAAUUUAAAUGUUAAAAUGAAAGUUAGAAAACUAAGUAAAGAGUUAUAAAAUAUUAAAACAAAAGAUUUGUAAUGAAAUAUUCUAGUAAUUAUAAAUUUAUAAUAGAGUUAUUAUUUAUUUAAUAUAAUUUCAAAUAUUAAGUAAUUAAGACAAUUUAUAAAAAAAAUUUUAAUGCUUAGAACCUUUUAUUUUAUUAAUGGAACUUUCAAAUUUCAAAUACAAAUAUUUUUUUUUUGAAAAACAGUUAAUUUAUGCAGUUACCAUCUAGGAAGAGUUCUGGUUGAACUAGGCCUCUUAGUAGCCAAUUAUAAUUAUCAUAAUAAUAUUUGUAAGUUUCUAUAUAGCUUCUUUGUAACUUAUCAAUUAUAUCUUUUGGACAUUCUGCUGGAAUUGACAAUGUUGAUUGAUGUUCCAUGAGCUCCAUGCUGUCAUCGCUCCCGGUGCUAAGUAUCUCAUUGUAUUCUUCUUCUUCCCUAGUGGUUAAUUUUUCAAAACCAAGAUUUCUUCUUUCUGAAUUAAUUCAAUCUCUGAAUAAUACGGAAAUCUCUAGACUGUCCUCUCCUAUUGCAUGUCUAUGAUCUCCAAUUUAAAUCUUGCCGCGCUAAAAAUAUUGUUUCAAAGACUUGACGAAUUAAUUUGAAGCUUGAAAGUUGCUCCAAAAUUUGCCCAAAUAUGAAACUUGAAAGUUAUCACUUGAUUGUUGAUACUAGGGAUGUACAAAGGAAACCGACAAACCGCACCAAACCGAUAAUCCAAGUCAAACAAAAAAAAAA
rnacentral:lncRNA from 1 species